rnacentral:lncRNA from 1 species
ACGUAGGCCAGUAUGAAUCGGCACUUCUUCUUGAGGCCGACAUGGAGGAGCUGUUUCACAGUACGAAAGAGCAGAGGAACAUUGGCUUGCUGAAAGCUUGCAAAACUGUUAAGGCCAAUAGCCACCAAGAAGUCGAGGACUAGGUAAAGGAACGAUAAGAUAUCACUUUAGGCCAACUCCAUCCAAACCAAUGAUAUACCUACAAACAACCUGAAUUGCUUUUCUUAAUAAUGAAAAAACCAAUGAAGACUCUCUUAUACUUGUAAUAUUCUUAAGUUCGAGUUAAAAAGUCAACAUGGGAUCAAAAUUCGGGCUAUAAUUUAAGAAUAAACCUUCUAGAUAAGACUAGACGUUGCUUACGUAUGAGAAAACAUAUAAAUAAAUGGUUCAUCUACGACGAUGAGGCUAAGUAAUUGACUACAUGGCAUGUUAGCUACUGGGUAAAAAACCAUACAUAAUUUAUAAACAUGACAAGUAAAUGGUAAAAUGGUAAUAGAUAAAUAACAUAAAAUAGAAUAUGAUUAUAAAAAAAAANGGGGAAAAAAACAUAGAAUAGGAUAUAAAUAUCAGCUCCAAGAACAAGAUCAAAUCCAUCCGGAUGCCUCUGCAAUAUAUUGUUGAGUUGCUCAGAAUUUCCCCAUUCUAGCUUCUCGGCAGAACAAAUUGUAUUCUUUGAAGAGUCGUCUAACACUAUAUUCCUUGUUAGGAUCUGAAUGUGUCAACAGAAGUAAGUGUGUCAACAAUAAGAUAUCAACUUCAAAAGGUUCAAGCACUAAGAAUAUCACAUAACCUUGCCUUAAGAACCUCAUCAUUAUGGUCAGUCAUAACUACUUCCCUACAAAAUCUGCUACAGAGUAUCCCGGUAAUGCCUGCACUAUCGAGCUCAGUAAAUAUUUCAUUCCGGGUGACAGCAAAAUAAGGUCGGUUCAGCAGUUUAUGUACCAA